GAUCAUCCAACAACAAAGCAAACUUCUUCUUGCUUAAAGUCUUGAAGAUGUCCUGAGCUUUCUCUUCGAGACUUUUGUCCUUCCAUGAAUCAUUAUAUAGACCUAUCUUUUUCCCGAUAGUUUCUUGAAUUUUUUCAAGCUGCAGGUCUUUUGACACCACAACCCAAAUCACAGAAUCAAAAUCUGUUGGAUUAUCAACAAAUUUAUUAUUGAUUUGGGUUAACAGUGUAGUUUUACCGACACCGCCCAUGCCGUAUAGGCCAAUUAUACCAGCUGCAGGUUCUUGUACAAGACAUCUCCAAACUUGUUCAAGUUGUGAUUGCAAGCCUACCACCGUUGGCUCAGUAGGUCUUUCAUCUGCCACAGAUAUUAAUUCUGGAUCUGGCGCGGCCACCUCUUCAAAAACUCCUUCCCCCUUUAAGGCCUUCACAUCUCGCAGCCUUUUAGCAACUUUUCUACCAAACUUGUAGCUUGACUUGCAGUUCCUGGAGCAGUAGCCUCCAAGACACAAUUUGUCAAUUUCCUGAGAGCCACCAUCUCUUCCCAUGAGUUCAUCAACUUCAGUUUUAAGAGUCUCCACCCUCGAAAGCCAAACCUGCACUUGGUUCAGCCUCUUCAUUUUGUGUUGGUGUUCAGCAUUGAGGACCCUCGUCAUCACAUCAUUCUUUGCAGCGAUUAGUUGUUCCAAUUCAGUCGUCAAGGCAACAACAUUAUCUUUGAGGUCAGUUAUAUAUGCCGCUUUGCCAAGAGCGCAGUCUGGGCAACGAUUGAACAUUGCGCCAACAUCGCAAGAGAUUUGCAAAAUGUUACCCAUAAUGGAUCUCACUUGUAUGUAUGAAUUCAACCAAGAGAGAAACAAAGGAAUUUAACUUCACCAGUUUGAUGAACAGAAGCUGCUGUCGCGGAUUAAUUGAGAUAGAACAUUAGUUAUUGAAUAAUGUAAUCAGCUCUGUUUGUACCCAACUCACUAAAAAAAGUAACAAAAAGGAACAUUAGUUAUUGAAUAAUGUCCAAUACGUAUUAGCAAAGUGGGUAAGUUAUAUUUAAUGUAACCUACGGUCAGUCUGUGAAAUUGUAUCUAGUCUCCUAUGUUCUAUGUUAUUUAUAUUUUAUUCAUAAAUAUUAUAAAUAUUUUGAAAUAUAAAAUUCCGUUUAACCCCUUAUACUCAAUUUUAUUUUAUUGAAACCCUAGAGUAUGAAUUCCCCCCAUAAUUUUAAAUUCUCAAAAUAACCUCCAUUUAAUUAAAAAAUAUAAUUAUUUUUAAAUAAAUUAUAAUUAUAAUUAUUAUUUUAUUAUAAUCAUAAAUAUUUUUUAAAAUAGAUUAUUAUUAUUAUUAUUAUUAUUAACAAGAAUAAAAAGCAUUAUAAUUAAUUAAUCUAUUAACAAUAAUUAAUAAUAUUUUUUAUUAAAUUGUUAAUAAUAAUAAUAAUUAAUGAUUAUCUAACUAAUAGGAAAUGUAUUGCUAAUGCUACCUUCGACUUUAAAUACUCAUUAUCGGGUUUCAAGAGACCAAUGAAUGACAAUUUCUGUCAAAAUUUUAAGCUUGACCCAAUAAAAAUAAUUUUACAUUUAAAAAACUAGAAGUAAGAAAAAUGUGUUUACAUCCUCGAAGGUGUAACAACUUAGCAAAAAGCACUUAAAAAUUACCGUUUAAUAAUGAGAUGCCUACGAAACUAUUAUUUAUCAAAGUAACAAAAAAUCCUGAAAGUACUUGAAAUUAAAAAGUAUAGAAAUAUAAAAGAGUCUCCUACAUAAAUAUGGACUCAAUGUUUAUUCCAUUUUAUUAUAAUCAUAAAUAUGUUAAUUAUCAAAAUUUCUGUCAAAAUUUUUGUUUCCUCCUUUCUAUCUUUCAUAUCAGCAUUAUUUUUGUCUUGAUUAUUGAAUAGUUGAAUAUGUAUGUGUGUGGGGGCAUAUAAUAUAUAGUACUUAGAUUUUGUUUAAUUUUCUAUUGUUAACUUGAUUAUUUGUGGCAUUAAUUUAAUAUGAUUUACAUCUUUUUGGUUGUAGUAUUGAUGAGGUUCCUUUAUAUGAUGACCCAAUUUUUUUUUUUUUUUUUUGGUCUUCAUUUGUUUAAUUAUGAGAAAAAUAAAAUAGUAAUAAGAUUGGUCAAUUUGGGUAAACAAUUAAUGAACUAAUGUAGUAUAUCUCAUCUCACUCCCCUAGCAUAUCAUAAAUUUCCAAAAUUUGUCUUCAAUCGAUUAAACAUAAAUUUCAAAAUUCUUUAAAAAAAAAAAAGCCAAUACCGAUCCUUUAAAGUUUAAAACAUCCAAAAAGGAAAAAAAAAAAAAAAUCAUCUAUUAGCAUAUGGUAAAAGCAUAAUUCGACUAAAGUUGGGACAUGGCAUGUGGUAGACAUGUGGAUUGAUUGCUUGUGUUAUUGAAUCGUUGUAUCAUCGACUUCGCAUUAUUAAUAAGCUUUUUAACUUUUAUGAUUUUAUAAUAAACAGUAGGGGUUUAAGUGUUAAUAACCAAUUGAACACAUUUCAACGGUUGAACACUUUAACCCUCGUAUCAAAUGGCUGAACCAGAAAAUGACAAAGUUUGGGGUACCGUGCAACUGUUGCACGGUAGGCGGACCCUAUUGAAUAAUGUAAUCAAGUCAUGGGUAGACGGAUGAAUCCUAUAAAUCUAUAGGCGGACCCUAUAGAUUGAUUAGUCAAGUAAGGGAAAUGGGUCCGUAACUUUCAAGCAAGACUUGACGUCCUGUCCCUUGCCUCCUCACCAUACCAUUAAAGUUUUGAAGUUAGGCCAAUUAGAUUAAAGGUGAGAUGGAAUGGAUUUAUGGAGUCGUUGAUUACUGAACGUAUUUGCCAAUCUAUUGGACGUAUUAAAGUUCUUUCCCUUUCAACAUUAUUGAACGUAUUUUGCAGGGAAACCUCCUCUAUCUUUCUUCCCAUUAACGUCCAAUUAAGACUUUUGUGUAUCCAAUUAAUGUCCAUUAACUUGAAGAUUGAAGAGGGCCAGCGUUAUUUCAAAGUCAAGAUUGGCUUAUUAGCUUGCAGAAUUCUUGAUAUGAGUUAAAAAAAUAAAUAAAUAAGGUUGAAAAGGAUUAGGAUUAGCUUAGUUUUUAUUGAUCAUUGAAUUAAUGGUUAGGAUUUAUUUUAUAUUUUACUUUUUUCAUCUAAUUACCAAUCUAGUGGUCAGCACUGAAUUGAAUACUUGUCUAAUUGAAAGGUAAUGGGUAAAAGGUUUUUAAAACUUUAAAUAUUUUUGUGAAUUUUUGAGCAGCAGCCAAAUUCCAAGAUUCUCAACAAUUUUUGAGCCAAUCCCAAAGGAGAUUUAGUUUACUAUACACAUGCCACUUCUUAAUAAUUAAGAUCUACAUAAAUGACUUUUAAUUUUGUAUGAUGAUCUCUUCCUCUUUGGAACAGAUACUCAAAUUUUAUUCAUCGUGACUGUGUUGAUCAAAACCGAUAUUAAUCAAUCUUGUAUUCAAGUACACUCAACCAAUUCUGUUUUCUUACAGAAUUGUUCAGAAAUAAAGAACUGUAAUUACCUCCAAAAUCAAACAAAUAAUAACCAAUAUGUUAUAUUUUUUAAUUGGUUUUUUUCCCCUUCAAAUAAUGGAGUCCAUAGUGCAGUUUUGACUGGCACAUGUACUAAGAUAUGAAAGUUAAUGUACAAAAUGGAAGAAUAAUAAAAUCAUGUCCGAAAUUAUUAAUUCUCAGGUGCAACCUAAAUUUAGAUGUAUCUUAAUUCUUAAAAGGAGAAAAAAAAAAAGAGUCAAUCAUUGUUAGAGCUUCAAGAGCUUUGAGAUCUUAUUGGUUUAUUUUAUUAUUAGUAUUUGGCGUUUUUCGCUUUCAGGAUAGUCGCAACAAAUAGAUUCUUGAAAGAGCGGUGCUAUUGGCACCUUCUUAAAACUCAAUUGAAACCCCAUUUUCAUGUUUAUAGCUUUAUUCUUAGUUAAAAUUACACAAAAGGACAAAAGAAAUUUAAUUAAAAUUUAAUUUUCUUUUCUUUUUGUUACUAAUUCUUCAAACCCAAUAAAUUACUUUAUUGGGAUUUUUGUUAUUUUUGCCUUUAAUUUCUUUUUUUUUUGUAAGUAAAAUAAGUGCCCACUUGGUGAAGAAAAUCCAAUAAUUUGAUAAAAAUCUAAUAAAUUUCUUGGACCUUUUUUUCUUAAUUAUUUCCAAAAUCAUUUUGGAACUAAAAAAAAUUGAAUCCCAUAUACAUUAGAUACUGAAAAUAAAGAGUUUAUGAUGUGUGGGUAUGAACUGCGAAGAGUUAAAAAGAAAAUACGUACAUGGAUUGGGGUUUAAUAAUUUUGUAUUUGUAGUUUUAUGUAAUUUUCUCUGGUGAAAGAGCUGUUAAUGAAAACGGGGUUUCAUAAGAAUAACGAGGGGGUGCCAAUAGUAUUACUCUUCUUGAAAAUCAUAUGAGAAAGACAAAUAGCCCAAAAACAAAGUGCCUGUAUCUUUAAAUUUAUUAUAGAGUAGUAAUUUUUAUUUUUUUUUUAAAAAUUGCUCUACCUUUUUUUUUUCAAAACCUUAACUAAAAUAUUAAAAUUGUGAAAAUUAGGAAUCUGGUCAGGAUGAUAUUCUGAGUCCCAUUUUCAUUUUCAUUUAUUGAAAAUAAGUUGAACAACUGUUCGGUAUAAUGUUCUAAUAAAAUGAAUUAUGAAAUAAAAAAUACAGAUUUUACUUUUGUUUACUCAAAAAGUUGAAGAACGACAUUUUUAUGGUUUUAUUGAAUUUCAAGAAUGGAAGCCAUUCUCUCAUCUUUAUCUUAUAUUAGCGUCCAUGGUAAUUAAAAUGGUUUUUGUAUCAAAUUGAUAAGAUUGAAACAUCUAAUGCUACAAUGGCUUUUGUGAUUAUUUUAAAUUUGAAGUUAAAAUUUGAUAAAACUAAUAAGUUUUAUUGAGCAGAAGAUGAGUGGAAGGACUUUUUCUAUGAUAUUUAGCCGAACAAAAAGAUAAAAUAAAAUGUUCAAGGACUUUAAAAAAAUGUCGUCAUAUUUUGCUUGUACCAAUGAAACAGUAGUUGUGAAAAAGGAUUAAAAUAAUAUUUUCAAAUGAGAUUUUUCUCUAUACCUUAUCAUACCUUUUAUUUGAAUAUCUUUCUUCGUAUAUAAAUUUAUGAUUACAUUUAUCAGAUGCUCUAUAAUAUAUUUCAUUUACUGAAAAUUUUUAUUAUUAAAUGUAAUGAACAAUUUAAUCUUUUUAUAAGUGUUUACUGUGUGAUACCAAAAAAUAAAUAAACUCUAAAUAAUCCAUUGACAUAAAUAUAAACUAUAUGUUUAAGUUAAAAAAAAAAGUUUCAAUCCAAUGCUACCGAACAAGUAUUACAGUUUUUUUAUUUAAAAUAUAAGUUUCAAAAACUCAUACUGAACACAUACUUAUAUUUAGAAUACUAGUUUCAAAAACAUCAUUUUUAUUUUUGUUUUUGUUCUAUAAAAACAUCAAUUGACAAUAAUAAAGACAAAGAAUUGAAAAUUUUAAUAAGAAUUAAUCUAACUACUCUCUUUAAAAGGAAAAAAAAAAGAAAAAAGAAAAAAGAAAAUAUCUAACUACACUCACUUUCUAAAAAUAUUAAUACAUAUAAUUACACUAAAACCCCUAUACAUUUUUAUUUUACCAAAUAAUUAUGUGAUUAAUAUUUAUUUAUAAAAUAUAACAAUUAUGUGAUUAAUAUAAUAUUAAUUUUAUAAUCUCAACUCAAUGGUCAUAUCAAGAGCAUAUUUAAUUAUUUUAUUUUUAAUCUACAAUUGAGAUGUCACACCAUGGAGUUAAAGCGGUUGUUAUCAUUUUGUUUUCUGAUUUAAUUUCUAUUUUAAAAAUAAUUUGAGACCCCGUGAGCAUUCAACGAAUGAUUUGCGAGUUUGGAGGAGUCCAUGCAUAUGGGGCCCACUGGUCGUUUGAUGAUUGAUUAUGUCACAUGAUUCCUGCCACAUACGAUUAUUAUCCACCCUUUAUCUCUUUUUUUUUUUUCUUUAAUAAAUAACCCUCUUUACUCAUUUCACUUCCAAAUUCAUGUUCAUGCCCUUACACUAUUGAUUUAUCUAUUUUUUAUUUUACAUUUUUUUUUACUCUUCCUCAUGUUAUUGUCCCUUUCUUUUUCCUUAGCAGUAAUGUUCCCAAAUUUAAUCGAGAAACAAAGAUAUAAAUGAUAGAACUUAUUAGUUUGAUAAUUUAUAAACUCGCAAUAGAUGAUACUCAUUUUCAUUCCUAGAUAAAUGCAAUACGGCCGUGUAUAAAAUACGUCGAGAUUUGGGAAAAACGUGGCCCUAAGGCCUUUUUAGUAAGAUUAGGGAUUUCACUGAAAUUUAAUUCCUUUAAAAUGUGAAGUUUACGUUUUGCACCCUUUGAAUUUACAGUUUCUUAUUUAUGGCAUCUCAAUUUGGCUUCUCUCGAAUAUGGUCCACGUUAAACCAAAAUUAUAAUUGCACCACUAAAUAUGACAGUACUGGAAAACUAUUUGAAGUGGAAAGUUAGUGAGUUUCUAUUUUUUUUUAAGGAUAUAUUUUAAGUAUUAUAUAGAUAAAAAUUAACUAUCUACCUAAGUAACCAAGCGAGCAAUUUAAACUUUAGACCUCUUUUACAUCAACGGAUUAUGUUUGGCAGACUCAAUUUGUCAAUAACUAGAUAUAUGUUACGACAGACUCAAUUUGGGGCAGAUUCUAAGGUAAGGAAAUUGAAAAUGCCUAUUUUCGAAGGUGAGGAUGCCUAUGGAUGGGUGUAUAGGGUAGAGCGCUAUUUCGCCAUCAAUGGACUCUAAGAAAGGGAAAAAUUGAUGGCGGCGGCGUUAUGUUUGGAGGGAAAGGCCCUUGCGCAGUUUCAAUGGUGAGAACAACGAAAACCGUUGAGGUCAUGGGAUGAGUCUAAAGAUCGGCUAUUGGAGAGGUUUCAGGGCACUCAAGAGGGAGAUUUGCAUGAACAAUUUUUUACUUUGACCCAGGAUAGAAUGGUUAUGGAGUAUAAGGAGAAGUUUGAGUUACUAUUAGGGCGUUUAUGGGGAAUUCCAGAGGCGGUAUUGGAAGGAAAUUUUAUGAAGGGACUGAAGCCAGAAAUCCGAGCCUCGCUACGCUUGCUAAGGUCGAGAGGGUUAGGGGAGUCAAUGGAGUUGGCACAAUUGGUUGAGGAUAAGAGCACGAUAGAACGGGUUAAUAGGAGCAAUUCAGUCAAUUUUUCAUACCAAAACAACACGCCAUUGGUAGGACAGAAAACCCAGACUUUGGGGUUCCAGCGAGAGUUCCAAAGUACACCACUAGGAGGCCAGAAAAUGCAAAUGGUGGAUUUAUAGAGAGAUUCCCAAAGGGAUUGGGAUAGUGGGGCACGACUGGGGGUGACUUUCGAACGCCUCAUGGAGACAGAGAUUCAGGAUAAGAGGGCGAAGGGGUUGUGCUUUCGAUGUGAUGAGAAAUUUUCACCAGGGCAUCGAUGUAAGGAUAAAUCACUACAAGUCCUGACUGUGUGUGAUGAGGAAGAAGGCUAGAAAGAAGCUGAAGAAGAAGACGCAGUAAUUUCCUAGAUUUCACCUUGAGGACAAUGUGUCUUUUUGGGAGGAGAGUAAUGUUUGACCAAUGAAAAUUUAAAUGCAAUUAUAAAGAGGCAAGGGCACUUUAGUAAUCUUAGAGACGGAGACAGUUUAAUAAUUUUAUUAUUAAUUAGGGUUUAAAUAUAAAUAAAAAAUUAUGGAGUCACUUAGAAUUUAUUAGUGUUGUUUUGGUGCAUAAUUGAUUUUGAUACCAUUACGCCCUAUUAUUCCUUUGUUCAGCACGGAGUAAUUUUGUUUUCAUCCACACUUUGAUUGAAGCUCUGCCGGCGAAAGUGCUGACUACUAUUGCACGGACCUACGCUAUCUUUGACAACUUAAGACAUUUAUCCUAGGACAAUGUGACCUAUAGUGGCUGACAAAUGCCUGCUUUAUUUAAUUCUCAAGCACCUGUCAUCUGAGCAAUGUUAAAUCAAUUAAUUGUGCCUUUUUUAUUACCACAUAUCUUCUUUGGCCUUGAACCAUUCAUUUUUGCCAAGGGUUGACUCUUUUUCCUCAUGGUGAGCUGAAGCUGUAUACUGCUUUUGUGGAAUCUUGGCAUCCAACACUAAAUUAAGAUUUCAGCCUUCAAACUUAUAAUGCAAGAUAUUAGAUAGUGUUUGGGUGGCUCCUGAAUAGUGCCAAAAAGAAUGAGUCUUGGCCACCAUUGCUGAAUUUUGUUUAACCUUUAACACAAUGAUGACUUCAUCUUGCUACAUUUACAUAUAACAGAUUUCAUUAUCUUCUUAGGAUUUACUGGAGGGUCUGAAUCAACUGGAAGAAGGUUUGAAGGAUAAUACUAAGAGAUUGAGUUCUUUCGACAAGUACAUGCAAGAAGUCCUCCUUGGCCAUCUCGACUGGUCCCCCAUGCACAAAGAUUCCCUAUUCUGGGGUGAUAAUAUCACAAACUUUGAAGAAAAUGAUUUCCAGGUAUUUCUUUUCCCCAUGGACGGUGUUUCUAGUUUUUAUUUUUCAUUUUUUCUGCUUUAACCGCACUGAAUGACCCUGCUAAUAUCUGUAUCGUCUCGUUCAGCAUCAUUUUGUAUAAAUACCUACAAAGUUUCUGUAAUACUAAUGGAUAAUCUUCUCUCUCAGAUUCUAAGGGUCCUCUUAACAAUUUUGGAUACAUCCAGUGAUCCACGAGCUCUUGCUGUCGCUUGCUUUGAUCUCUCACAGUUUAUCCAGUACCAUCCAGCUGGGCGGGUCAUUGUGACAGACCUCAAAGCCAAGGAACGGGUGAUGAAAUUGAUGAACCAUGAGAAUACCGAGGUUACCAAGAGCGCCUUACUCUGCAUCCAAAGGCUUUUCCUAGGCGCAAAGUACGCGAGCUUUUUGCAGGCCUGAAUUCUCUUUCUAUGGGGUCCAGUAUUGUUUACAAAGGAAAUGCUUGUAAUGAUUUGAUUCCAGUUUGGCUGGUUAGGUUGUUUAUUUAUUUAUCAAUCAUUGGAGGAAUUUAUGAAUCAGGGGAACUCGUCUGUUGGAUUUUUUUAAGUACUGUGAAGAAUUAGUUGAUUUUUUACCAUAUUUUGGAAAUUUAUUUUGUUUGUGAGAUGAGGAAUAAAUUGAUACCAUCUGUACUGACCUUUGAUAUGAAAACUACUCGAGCGCAUGACAUAUAUCUGUUUUUGUUCAUUUCUGUAUCUUGCUGCUGACUGAAGCUGGAUUUUCAGGCUCGUUAUUAUCAUCUAUUCUUUUGAAGUUGCAAAAUGAAUUCUCAAUAUUUUCAGGGGAAAUGCUUAUAAUUAGCGCGGAAUUAAACAUUGAUUGUGUACUGUAUACUUCCAAAAGGCAAUUUAUUUCCAUUGAUUUGAGUAAACUAAAUCUCCGUGAUGGUAGCACUUUUUUAAUCACUUAUUAAAGAAUUCUUUGAAAAUUUGAUGAUUGUUGUUGAAAACAUUUACUAAUUGUAAAUGCGUUAAAAAUUAUUUGAUUCAUUUAGUAUCACUAAUAGUGAUUUAAUUUUUCAUCUUGAUUGAACGAUGAAUUUUGUAUUAAUCCGGAAAAGUGCUACUGUUACUCCAACCACGCGUCGCUUAAAGGUUCAUGUAAUUUGAGACGACUUGUCGUCUAUGUUUUAUUCCGGACCGGUUCACGCAAACUUUAAAGCUUUCGAGUACUCGCGGAGCGGCGAUCGCUAAUCCCUCAAAAGAAGACACACAAGGAAUGGAGACUGAGAAAGUAAAGGAGAAGGAGAAGGAGAAAGUGUGCAAGAGGUGUAAGCAAACGUACACAGCUUCAUCAAACAGCUCUUCUUCUUGCCGCUUUCACCCUUCCUUCUUCGUUUGCCGUCGUCACGACGACCAGAAAAGGUACCCACCCCACUCCCUCUUUUGAUCAUCAUUUCGCAUACACUUUUCUUCAAUUUAUUUUUUUUUAAUUUUUUUCUCAUGUACCCUUGUGAUUCUUUUGCAUUCUUUAUUGGAUGUUAUUAAUUAUUAUUAAAAAAAUUCUAAAAAAUAAAUAAAAUUCACGGCAGCUAGGAGUUGAAUGAAACUCUGAGGCCAGUCCAGUUUGGUAGGAUUCUUUGAUUUACAAAGCAUCGAGUAAUCAGAUUUGCUGGGCAUUCAUUUUGCUUUGUUAUUUUUCCAUGUAUCAAUUUUCAGUUCAUAAUUUGUGUCUGAGUGUGAGUGCACAAAUUUUGAUCUGUAACUAAUUAAUGGAUAUCAUUGUUUAAAAUGUGAAAAAUUUAGUUUAUUCUAUGCUAGUUUUUCAUAACAUGAGUUGGACUGAGCUCAGUCAGUUGAUGCUCCAUGUUUUUGAUUCAUUGAAGGUACUAUGAAUUGGGACCUGAUGAUCCGCCAUAUGCUGCCAAGUUUUACGACUGCUGCGGGGCCGAGGAUGCUGAUGCCUCUGGUUGUACCACUGGCUUCCAUGUCUCUUAUGAUGAUGAUUAACAUAAUUUUUACCUCCUAAUCACCUGUAACUAUAGAUUAAAUUUGUAGAUAUCUCCGUGUCUCCUCCUGUGACCCACAUCAUUUCCACUGUUCUACCACUGUAUAAUUCAGGCCUUUCAUCAGUUUAUCUCUUCAUUUCUCAACAUUUUUCUUUUUUUUUUUUUCCUGGGGUUGAUCUGGCAUGAAUUCGACAUGUGCUGCUAUGGCCAACUUUCGAGGGAUGAUGGUAAAUCUAAACCCUUUUCCAUAAACUUCUGCAAUUAGUUGGUCUAGGGCAUUUGAAGAGCUUAUACUGGAAGCCAUUGCCUUCCCACAUCUUAAGUAAAGAGUAAUGCUACUUUGACAGAAAUAGGUUUACAAAAUUUUGACAUACUUAUGAAAUACUAAAUUACCUUUUAGUUUAUUUACAGAUAGCGAAUUGGGCUUUUUACAUAUUUUUGUAAGAAUCAACCUAAACUUAUAUUCAGGAAAGAAAUAACUGCAGAGGAGAAAAAAGUAAUGAGGCGAUAGAAAAUUAUGCCAAAAUUAAUAGUAAGGCAUUUGAGAUUGCAGUAGAACUUCUCAAUAAUCAUAUUAUUAGGAUCAAUUGAUUUUGUUACUAUAAGGAGGUUAAAACUUUGUAGAGGUUUAGUUCAAAAUUACUAUCUUGACUUCAUUAUUCUUAGUGUAAGUAAGAUAAUUAAUAAAUAAUUAAUGAAGUGUGUCAAUUCUAUGAAGCUUCAAACAUGCUUGAAUACUUAAAAAUAUUUUGUCUUCAACAAGAAGGUGUGUAUAUUAUUGAAUUAUUUUUGCAAUAUACAAAUAAUUAUUAUUAUGUGGAGGCAAUUUCAAAGAUGUGAUAACAAUUUUAAAGAAUAAAUCAUUGUCUCAAACAAUUUUAAAAAAUAUUUUUUUCUAUACUAAAUCUUUUAAAGUAACAAAUAUGUUUUGCAAUACACAUAUAAUUAUUAUUAUGUGGAGAUAAGUUACUAAAGUCAGAAUCUAAAACACUUAUUACAAUUAGAGUUAAUUCUUAUUUAUAAUUUACUUAAAUUAAAGUUAAAAUUUUUUUAUCACUAUAAAAGAGUUAUUUCUAUAUAGAUAAUCACUAUAAAUAUAGAGUAUCACUAUAAAAAAGUUUUACGAUCAAUCAUCCGUCAUAAUAAGCACAAGAAUGACAAGUUUUGAGUCUCAAAUAAAUUCUUAUAAAACACAACCAUGGAUUAAGAUUGUCGGGAAAUGGGAAUGCAAUACAAAGUAAUUAAUGACACAGUCACAGUGUUUCACUUACACGUGAAGCAAACGAAACAAGAAGAAUCUUAAGAAAAAAACACUCACCGGAACGCAAGGUUCAAUCCCGGUUUACUACGUCAACCUCCGUUGGAAACAGAGACGAAAAGCAUUUUGAGUGGCUUCAUCCUCCCAUUGAAGCCUUCUCCACCAGUAUUCACCUCCACGAAUAAGAAUUCUGCGCCCAUUUGCACUAUUUGAAUCGAGUGGAAGCUUUUUAAGCGAAUCGCAAACCCAAACUUGCAAUACUUUCAGACGUGGGAGAGGCAAGGGCUUCCAGUAAAUGCUCUUCAAACGGACCAGUCCUCCUAACUCAAGACGCUGGAGUUUUGCAAAAGGGCUGUUUAUUAUUCCCGUCAUCUCAGGAAUGUCAUCAAACUCUCCAGCACUGAUUAUUUCUUCCAUGUCAUCGCAAUAGCUUACGGAAAUAGACUUGAGGUUUGGAGCAAAAACGAGGAAUGUCAAGUGUUUCAAAUUUCUGCAAAAGCGUACGGUAACUUUCUCAAGGCUGCGGAAAACAUAAGGUUGGCGCGAUUUUUGUACCAUAUCAUUGCAGUCAAUCUUCAGUCCCUUAAUACAACCACAACUAAAAAAGUCUAAUGUAUUGAGCUGCUCUAGAUCGGCUAAAUCUGCAACAUCGAUCGACUCCUCCCUAUCGAAGCGAUGGAGCAAGAGAGCUUGAGUACAACUUCGUAACUUCUGUGAGCUCAAAAAUGUUUGGUAAGCCUCAAAACUCCUGAAGGAGAUCUCCAGUACCUCUAAAUAUUUCAAACCGAGCAAUUCCUCUGCUACAUUCUCAUGCCAAGAGCUAAGUAAAAAACCAGUAGCAAACAUUCUCAACACACGUAACCUUGAAAAAUUAGAUAACAGUUGCUGUGGAACUACAACUAACUCUUUUGCCCAGACCAAAUUCAAACAUUUAAGAUUUACCAACGCUUUUAACUCUUCGGGUAACUCUGUAACGCUUGUAUUUGAAAUAUCAAGGAGUUGUAGUGAAACCAACUUUGAGAUCCCCAUUGGUAACUGCCGUAGCGUUUCAUUAUCUGACAUCUUCAAAACUGUUAGACAAGACAUAGACUGGAAGAAGCCACCGGUGAUCGUCCUCAACGGAUUACGGUUAAGAAACAAAGUAAGAAGAUGAGGGCAUGUCGGAACAGUUGGUAGAUUAUCAAUUGAAUUUCUCAUCAAUGAUAAUCUUCUCACAAUUUCCCAUCCUCUGACAUCUGCCUCCCUUAAUCCGGAACCUGCAUAAACCAAAAAGCCCUCCUUCUCCUUCUCAAUCUCACAAGUUAUCCACAAUGCCAUAUCGCGGACGACGUCAUGCAUUUUUACUUGAUCAUCUUCUACCUCUUCCAAUAAACAUGCAUGAACAAGAGUGCCCACGAUAUAGUAUCCUCGGUUUUGUGUGCCAAACUUGUCUUCUUCCAAAAACCCCUCGCACAUCCAGCAAUCAAUCAAGUCUCUUUUAUCUAUGCCGUAAUCUUCCGGAUAUAAACAACAAUAUAAGAAACAAGAUCUGAUUGCAUCGCUUGGCAAGCAAUCAUAGCUGAAUUUUAAAAGAGGAUAUACCUCCUUUCCCAAACCUGCAAAUUCGGAAGCUGAUCUUCUUAAAACUUCAAUCGCAUAUCUCCAUUCUUCAGGAGUCUUUUUGUAGGCCAUGGCUCGACCAAUAGUAAUAAGCGCGAGCGGCAACCCACCGCACUCCUUUGCCACAGUUUGAGCUAGUUCAGGAAUACUAUGAUGACUCUCAAUAGUUUCUUCCCCAACUUUCUCUCGAAAUAGCUCCCAAGCAUCCUCAUCGGAUAAGCAUGCCACUUUGAACUUCCUUCGAGCUUCCAUACCGCCACAAACAUCAACGAAACGGGUUGUAAAUACUACUGCACUAUUCUUUGGAAGAGGGACACCAAUCUUCUUUAGAUCAACCCGCUCCCAUAGAUCAUCCAACAACAAAGCAAACUUCUUCUUGCUUAAAGUCUUGAAGAUGUCCUGAGCUUUCUCUUCGAGACUUUUGUCCUUCCAUGAAUCAGUAUAUAGACCUAUCUUUUUCCCGAUAGUUUCUUGAAUUUUUUCAAGCCGAAGGUCUUUGGACACCACAACCCAAAUCACAUAAUCAAAAUCUGUUGGAUUAUCAACAAAUUUAUUAUUGAUUUGGGUUAACAGUGUAGUUUUACCGACACCGCCCAUGCCGUAUAGGCCAAUUAUACCAGCUGCAGGUUCUUGUACAAGACAUCUCCAAACUUGUUCAAGUUGUGAUUGCAAGCCUACCACCGUUGGCUCAGUAGGUCUUUCAUCUGCCGCAGAUAUUAAUUCUGGAUCUGGCGCGGCCACCUCUUCAAAAACUCCUUCGCCCUUUAAGGCCUUCACAUCUCGCAGCCUUUUAACAACUUUUCUACCAAACUUGUAGCUUGACUUGCAGUUCCUGGAGCAGUAGCCUCCAAGACACAAUUUGUCAAUUUCCUGAGAGCCACCAUCUCUUCCCAUGAGUUCAUCAACUUCAGUUUUAAGAGUCUCCACCCUCGAAAGCCAAACCUGCACUUGGUUCAGCCUCUUCAUUUUGUGUUGGUGUUCGGCAUUGAGGACCCUCGUCAUCACAUCGUUCUUUGCAGCCAUUAGUUGUUCCAAUUCAGUCGUCAAGGCAACAACAUUAUCUUUGAGGUCAGUUAUAUAUGCAGCUUUGCCAAGAGCGCAGUCUGGGCAACGAUUGAACAUUGCGCCAACAUCGCAAGAGAUUUGCAAAAUGUUACCCAUAAUGGAUCUCACUUGUAUGUAUGAAUUCAACCAAGAGAGAAACAAAGGAAUUUAACUUCACCAGUUUGAUGAACAGAAGCUGCUGUCGCGGAUUAAUUGAGAAUUUGAGAUAGAACAUUAGUUAUUGAAUAAUGUAAUCGGCUCUGUUUGUACCCAACUUACUAAAAAAGUAACAAAAAGGAAAAUUUUGAAAGGUGGAAUGCAGCUGGCAAAGGAAAAAUCAAAGGGCAUGCUUCCCACGUCAAGAUGGUGGUGGUGGUCACCAUCUUUGUGUUUCCUUGACCUUAUCCAAUAUUCAUCAUUUUUGGUCCCACACCAUGUGCUUGACAGUUGUUUCGAUUUUAUCUCUUUUUAUUCCCCCUUUCUUUGUUUCUUUCUUUCUUUCUUUCUUUCAGAUCAGCAUUUUUGUCUUGGUGUGGGCAUAUAAUAUAUAGUACUUAGAUUUUGUUUAAUUUUCUAUUGUUAACUUGAUUAUUUGUGGCAUUAAUUUAAUAUGAUUUACAUCUUUUUGGUUGUAGUGUUGAUGAGGUUCCUUUAUAUGAUGACCCAAUUUUUAUUUUUUUUUGGUCUUCAUUUGUUUAAUUAUGAGAAAAAUAAAAUAGUAAUUAGAUUGGUCAAUUCGGGUAAACAAUUACUGAACUAAUGGAGUAUAUCUCAAUCUCACUCCCCUAGCAUAUCAUAAAUUUCUAAAAUUUGUCUUCAAUCGAUUAAACAUAAAUUUCAAAAUUCUUUAAAAAAAAAUUCGCCAGUACCAAUCCUUUAAAACAUCCAAAAGGGAAACAAAAAAAAAAAAAAAAAACAAACUCAUUUAUGGGCAUAUGGUAAAAGCAUAGUUUGAUUAAAGCUGGGACAUGACAUGUGGUAGACAUGUGGAUCGAUUGCAUAUGUUAUUUGAGUCGUUGUAUCAUCGGCUUCACAUUAUUAAUAAGUUUUUUUCCCCAAAUUCUUCUAAGAAUUAUGCGUAUAUUUUUUAGCAUAAUUGUUGGCUGAUCAGAAACUCUCGAAAGCUGGCCUAUAAUUUAGAUUAAACCAACAAUUAACAUGAGAAGUUAGGCUGGCAGGACAAUGGGAACCAACUCAAAUCUGGUUCCAUUAGCAAGCAGCAGCCAAAUUCCGAGAUUUUCAACAAUUUUGAACCAAUCCCAAAGGGAGAUUUAGUUGAGUAUACAAGAUUUCUCUUUGUCACUAGCCGUGCAUGCCGCUUCUUAAUAAUUAAGAUCUACAUAAAUGACUUUUAAUUUUGUAUGAUGAUCUCUUCCUCUUUGGAACAGAUACUCAAAUUUUAUUCAUCGUGACUGUGCUGAUCAAAACCGAUAUUAACCAAUCUUGUAUUCAAGUACACUCAACCAAUUCUGUUUUCUUACUGAAUUGUUUAUAAAUAAAGAACUAUAAUUACCUCCAAAAGCAAACAAAUAAUAAUCAAUAUGUUAUAUUUUUUUCAUUGAUUUUUUCCCCUUUAAAUAAUGGAGUCCAUAGUGUAGUUCUGACUGGCACAUGUACUGAGAUAUGAAAGUUAAUGUACAAAAUGGAAGAAUAAUAAUAUUCUGUCCGAAAUUAUUAAUUCUCAGGUGCAACCUAAAUUUAGAUGUAUCGUUAAAGGAGUAAAAAAAAAAAAAAGAGUCAAUCAUUGAUAGAGCUUCAAGAACUUUGAGAUUUUAUUAGUUUAUUUUAUUAAGAAAAUUAUCAUUUGUAUACCCUUAGUUUAUUUCAUUAUAAAAAAUACUACAAUACUUUGAGGGUGUAUCAAUCGUCCACCCAAAAUUGAUAAAAUGUAUCAACUGACUACCAAAUCGUUAGUUGCCGUUUAAAUAUGAUGACACUAGGAGGGCAAUUUGGUCUUUUCAUAUGAUACAAGUGAUAAUUUAAGGGUAUACAAGUGACAAAAAGAGAAAUUAAGGGUAUACAAGUGAUAAUUUUUAAGGGUAAAAUCAUCAAUUCACUGUAAUUCUGUUAACUUUCAAACGACAACUAAUGGUUUGGUGGUCGGCUGAUACAUUUUGUCAACUAAGGGUAGACGAUUGAUACACCCUCAAAGUGUUGUAGUAUUUUUAAUAAUAGAAUAAAUAUAGGGUAUACGAAUGAUAAUUUCCCAUUUUAUUAUUAGUAUUUGGCUUUUUUCGCUUGCACGAUAGUCGCAACAAAUAGAUUCUUGAAAAUCAUAUGAGAAAGACAAGCAGCCCAAAAAUAAAGUGCCUAUAUCUUUAAAUUUAUUAAUUUUUAUUUUUUAAAAAAAAAUUGCUCUACCUUUUUUUUUUCAAAACCUUAACUAAAAUACUAAAAUUGCAAAAAUUAGGGACCUGUUCAGGAUGAUAUUUUGAGUCCCAUUUUCAUUUUCAUUUACUAAAAAUAAGUUGAACAACUGUUCAGUGUAAUGUUUUAAUAAAAUGAAUUAUGAAAUAAAAAAUACAUAUUUUACUUUUGUUUACUCAAAAAGUUGAAGAACGACCUUUUUAUGGUUUUGUUGAAUUUCAAGAAUGGAAGUCAUUCUCUCAUCUUUAUCUUAGUUUAGCGUCCAUGGUAAUUAAAGUGAUUUUUGUAUCAAAUUGAUAAGAUUGAAACAUCCAAUGCUGCAAUGGCUUUUGUGAUUAUUUUAAAUUUGAAAUUAAAAUUUGAUAAAACUAAUAAGUUUUAUUGAGCAGAAGAUGAGUGGAAGGACUUUUUCUUUGAUUUUUAGCCGAACAAAAAGAUAAAAUAAAAUGUUCAAGGACUUAUAAAAAAAAAAAAAAAAGUCCUCAUAUUUUGCUUGUACCAAUGAAACAGUAGUUGUGAAAAAGGAUUAAAAUAAUUAAAAUAAUUUUUUCAAAUGAGAUUUUUCUCUAUACUUUAUCAUACCUUUUAUUUGAAAAUCUUUUUUCGUAAAUAAGUUUAUGAUUUCAUUUAUCAGAUGCUCUAUAAUAUAUUUUAUUUACCGAAAUUUUUUAUUAUUAAAUGUAAUGAAGAAUUUAAUUUUUUUAUAAGUGUUUACUGUGUGAUACCAAAAAAUAAAUUGACUCUAUAUAAUUCAUUGACAUAAAUAUAAACUAUAUGUUUAAGGUAAAAAAAAAGUUUCAAUCCAAUGCUAUCGAACAAAUAUUACAGUUUUUAUAUUUAAAAUAUAAGUUUCAAAAACUCAUACCGAACACAUACUUAUAGUCUUAUAUUUAGAAUACUGGUUUCAAAAACAUCAUUUUGAUUUUUAUUUUUGUUCUAUAAAAACAUCGAUUGACAAUAACAAAGACAAAUAAUUGAAAAUUUUAAUAAGAAUUAAUCUAACUACUCUCUUUAAAAGGAAAAAAAAUAUCUAACUACACUCACUUUCUAAAAAUAUAAAUACAUAUAAUUACACUAAAACCCGUAUAAAUUUUUAUUUUAUCAAGUAAUUAUGUGAUUAAUAUUUAUUUAUAAAAUAAAUAUUAAUUUUAUAAUCUCAACUCAAUGGUCAUAUCAAGAGCAUAUUUAAUUAUUUUAUUUUUAAUCUACAAUUGAGACGUCACACCCUAGAGUUAAAGCGGCUUUUAUCAUUUUGUUUUUUUUUAUUUAAUUUCUAUUUUUAAAAUAAUUUUAGACCCUGUGAGCAUCCAACGAAUGAUUUGCCAGUUUGGAGGAGUCCAUGCAUAUGGGGGCCCACUAGUCGUUUGACGAUUGAUUACGUCACGUGAUUCCUGCCACAUACGAUUUUUAUUGAUUAUCCACUCUUUACCCCUUUUUUUUAUUUAAUAAAUAAUCCUCUUUACCCAACUAGUCAGGCUUUUCUCGAGUGGCCAACGGUUCAAGCUUAGGGAUGGUAAUUGUACUCGUAAAUCUGUAAAUUUGUCUAAAUUCAUCUGUCAAAAUUCGUCCGUUGUGGGUAAUUUUAUUAGUUGCGGGCGGGUUUAAUAUUAUAAAUUAAAACCCGCACAUGAAUGGGGGUGGGUUUGAUAUUAAUCUUAUAUCCGGUGGAUACCCGCAUGGAUAUCCAUUAAACCCGCAAUAUUUUUUUCAAAUAUUUUUAAUUUAAUUUAAAUCUAAAAAUGUAUAAAGAAAAUAAUGUCAUUAAUUAAAUUACCAAAUAACCAAAGGCUCAAAGUUGUGUAUGUGUGUAUGUGUGUAUGUGGCCUAUAUCAUAUUCUAAAAUCAUAAUCUAAAGAAAACUAAAGGCAUUUUCCUUCGAAUUAAUAUUUGAAAAUAUUAAUCUUAAUUAUUAUUAUAGGCAUUGUGUUGGAUGGGUGCUUAUGGUGGUGAAUAAAAUGAAUAUCUUCUCUUGGAGCUUGUUUUAAAUGAUAAUAUGAAAUGUAAUUAUUAUUUUUAGAUAUUAGUUUGUGUUUUUUAAAUGGAUUUGUGUAAUUUAUACUUAAAUUUGAGAAUUUAUGUUGAAUUGAUGUGGAAAUUUUAAUUUUUCAUUUACAUUAUUUAAAUAUAAAAUUGAGUAUGUUAUAUGGAAUUUGAGGUUAUUAUUAUAAAUUUAUAUAUUAAACAUUUGUGAUUUUAAAUACGGAAACCCGCAAAAAAUCCGCCGGAUACCAUUGCGGGUUUGGUAAUUGUUAAAACCCGCUGCGGGUGGGUUUUUGUAAAAAAAUUAAAACCCGCUGCGGGUUACCGGUGGGUUUGGUAGUUUAAAUUUUGUGCGGGUUUGGGUUUGGUAAUGGCAAACCCGCUACGGGCAGUGCCCAUUGCCAUCCCUAUUCAAGCCCCGGGAUGUAUAUAGAGAUUUUCUUUUAAUUAUGCUAUAUAAUUAAGUGAAUGCUGUGUUUUAUCUUUUGAAAAAUGAGUAGAAUAAAUAUUCUUUGAAUAGUGAUAAAUUAAUUUCAAUAAUUGACUGAUUGUAAAUAUUAGUUGUAAUUUCAUACAAUAUGAGUUGUAAUUUGAGUGUUAAUAUCAUGUAAUUAAAAAUAAAAAAUAAUCUUCUUUACUCAUUUCACUUCCAAUUUCAUGUUGAUGCCCUUACAUUAUUGAUUUAUCUAUAUUUUUUUUAUUUUACACAUUUUUUUUGGACUCUUCCUUUUGCUUUUUCUUUUUCCUCAGCUAUAAUGUUCCCAAAUUUAAUAGAGAAACAAAGCUAUAAAUGAUCAAUUUAUUAGUUUGAUAAUUUACAAACUCGCAAUAGAUGAUACUCAUUUUCAUCCCUAGAUGAAUGCAACAUGGUCGCGGACAGAAUACAUCGAGGCUCGGAAAGAACGUUGGCCUAAGGCAUUUUUAGAAAGAUUAGGGAUUUAACUGAAAUUCAAUUCCUUUAAAAUGUGAAGUUUACGUUUUGCACCCUUUGAAUUUACAGUUUCUUAUUUAUGGCAUCUCAAUUUGGCUUCUCUCGAAUAUGGUCCACGUUAAACCAAAAUUAUAAUUGCACCACUAAAUGUGAUAGAGAUGAAAAAAUAUUUGAAGUGGAAAGUUUGUGAGUUUCUAUAUUUUUUUAAGGAUAUAUUUUAAGUAUUAUAUAGAUAAAAAUUAACUAUCUACCUAAGUAAUCAAGCGAGCAAUUUACACUUCAGACCUCUUUUACAUCAACGAUUUAUGUUUGGCAGACUCAAUUUGUCAAUAACUAGAUAUAUGUUAUUACAGACUCAAUUUGGGGCAUAUUCUAGGGUAAGGAAACUGAAAAUACCUAUUUUCGAAGUUGAGGAUGCCUAUGAAUGAGUGUAUAGGGUAGAGCGCUAUUUCUCCAUCAAUGGACUCUAAGAAAGGGAAAAAUUGAUGGCGGCGGCGUUAUGUUUGGAGGGAAAGGCCCUUGUGCGGUUUCAAUGGCGAGAACAACGACAUCGUUAAGGUCAUGAGGUGAGUCUAAGGAUUGGCUAUUGGAUAGGUUUCGGGCCACUCAAGAAGGAGAUUUGUAUGAAUAGUUUUUUACUCUGACCUAGGAUAGAACGGUUAUAGUUUGAGUUGCUAUCAGGGCGUCGAAGGGGAAUUCCAUAGGCGGUAUUGGAAGGGAAUUUUAUGAAGGGACUGAAGUCAGAAAUCCGAGCCUUACUAUGCUUGAUAAGGCCGAGAGGGUUAGGGGAGUCAAUGGAGUUGGCACAAAUGGCUAAGGAUAAGAACACAAUAGAACAGGUUAAUAGGAGCAAUUCAAUCGAUUUUUCAUACCAAAACAGCAUGCCAUUGGUAGGAUAGAAAACCCAGACUUUAGGGUUUAAACGAGAGUUCCAAAGUACACCACUGGGAGGCCAGAAAAUGCAAAUGGUGGAUUUAAAGAGAGAUUCCCAAAGGGAUCGGGAUAGUGGGGCACGACAUGGGGUGACUUUCAAACGUCUCAUGGAGACAGAGAUUCAGGAUAAGAGGGUGAAGGGGUUGUGUUUUUGAUGUAAUGAGAAAUUUUCACGAGGGCAUCGAUGUAAGGAUAAAUCACUACAAGUCCUAACUGUGUGUGAUGAGGAAGAAGGCCGGGAAGAAGCCGAGGAAGAAGACGCAGUAGUUUCCAAGAUUUCACCUUGAGGACGAGGUGUCUUUUUGAGAGGGGAGUAAUGUUAGACCAAAGAAAACUAAGGUGCAAUUACAAGGAGGCAGGGGCACUUUAGUAAUCUUAAGGGCAGAGACAGUUUAAUAAUUUUAUUAUUAAUUAGGGUUCAGGUAUAAAUAAGAGAUUAUGGAGUCACUUAAGAUUUAUGUUGGGUUUUGUCUAGUGUUAAGAAUAAUUAAGAGUUUGGGAGAGAUUGACUUACCUCUUGUAGGUCAAGAUUGUUAUUUAUUUUUAUCAAUCAAUAAAAAAUCAACCCUAAUUUAACUCUAAGUCAUAUCAUAACGGAAUUUGUGUUAUUGACCUCUUCUUUUUUCCCUUUUCCUUCUUCUUGUAACAACUUCUUUACGAAACAUGUCUCUGCGUCUGGCUCUUGUCUUACUAUGAACCUGCAGUGGAGUACUUGGCAACUAAUAGAACCCUACCACGACUAAUAGAUGUUGUUAAGAGUUCCACAAAGGAGAAUGUGAGAUCUGGUUUCUUGGUAGUAUUUAAUGUUAGCAAAGGCUCACUGCUGCACAAGAUGAGUGUCAUCCACUUGAAUACUAUUAACUUGUUAUACAUACGUAUAUUUAAAUAUAUUUAUAUUGGCUUGUGGUAGAAAUACGCUAUUUUCUUAUCCAAAAGAAUACGUUCUUUUGUUCAUAUGGUUAUUAAGAUAGGCAUAUCCUGCUAGGUUGUCAGGGUGGUGGUCUUGAUCCUUAGAAACUUGCUUCCCAAAGGUAAUUUUGCUGCUCAGAUGAUAGACCUUGGACUACCUCAAGUUGUUCAAAGUUUAAAAGCACAAGCAUGGAGUGAUGAGGUAAGAGAAGUUGCUCGCUGUUUAGUUUUUCUUUUUCGGCUGAUUGCAUAAUUAUUUAGUUAAUAGAUCGAGUAAAAUUAAGGGAGUUGAUGGCGCUGUUUGCUACUGAUUGGUGCAUUUGGUGAUCAUUUUAUAUGGAUUUAAAAUUUACUUCAGCUUCUGUGAAGUAUGGUGUGGUAGAAUAGUCAGUUGCUUGUGUGAUGACAAAAACUACUGUUAUUUUGUUCAUUAUAUGAAUAUUAGUGUUAUUUUGGUGAUAAUUGAUGAUAGAAGGUAUGCUUAUCAGAGUCUUUUUACCCCAUACUUGGGAUCGGCUAGUCAAUUAUGAUUAUGAUACCGUUACACCCUAUUAUUCCUUUGUUCAGCAUGGAAUAAUGUUGUUUCCAUCUACACUUUGAUUGAAGCUCUGGCUGGCAGAAAGUGCUGACUACUAUUGUACGGACCUACACUAUCUUUGACAACUUGAGACAUUUAUCCUACGACAAUGUUACCUAUAAUGGCUGACAAAUGCCUGCUUUAUUUAAUUCUCAAGCACCUGUCAUCUGAGCAAUGUUAAAUCAAUUAAUUGUGCCUUUUUUAUUACCACAUAUUUUCUUUGGCCUUGAACCAUCCAAUUUUGCCAAGGCUCGACUCUUUUUCCUCAUGAUGAACUGAAGCUGUAUAUUGCUUUUGUGGAAUCUUGGCAUCCAACACUAAAUUAAGAUUUCAGCCUUCAAACUUAUAAUGCAAGAUAUUAGAUUGUGUUUGGGUGGCUCCUGAAUAGUGCCAAAAAGAAUGAGUCUUGGCCACCAUUGCUGAAUUUUGUUUAACCUUUAACACAAUGAUGACUUCAUCUUGCUACAUUUACAUAUAAUAGAUUUCAUUAUCUUCUUAGGAUUUACUGGAGGGUCUGAAUCAACUGGAAGAAGGUUUGAAGGAUAAUACUAAGAGAUUGAGUUCUUUGGACAAGUACAUGCAAGAAGUCCUCCUUGGCCAUCUCGACUGGUCCCCCAUGCACAAAGAUCCCCUAUUCUGGCGUGAUAAUAUCACAAACUUCGAAGAAAAUGAUUUCCAGGUAUUUCUUUUCCCCAUGGACGGUGUUUCUAGUUUUUAUUUUCAUUUUUUCUGCCUUAACUUCACUGAAUGACUCCUGCUAAUAUCUGUAUCGUCUCGUUCAGCAUCAUUUUGUAACUAAUGGAUAAUCUUCUCUCACAGAUUCUAAGGGUCCUCUUAACAAUUUUGGAUACAUCCAGUGAUCCACGAGCUCUUGCUGUCGCUUGCUUUGAUCUCUCACAGUUUAUCCAGUACCAUCCAGCUGGGCGGGUCAUUGUGACGGACCUCAAAGCCAAGGAACGGGUGAUGAAAUUGAUGAACCAUGAGAACACCGAGGUUACCAAGAGCGCCUUACUCUGCAUCCAAAGGCUUUUCCUAGGCGCAAAGUACGCGAGCUUUUUGCAGGCCUGAAUUCUCUUUCUAUGGGGUCCCGUAUUGUUUACAAAGGAAAUGCUUGUAAUGAUUUGAUUCCAGUUUGGCUGUGGUUAGGUUGUUUAUUUAUUUAUCAAUCAUUGGAGGAAUUUAUGAAUCAGGGGAACUCGUCUGUUGGAUUCUUUUAAGUACUGUGAAGAAUUAGUUGAUUUUUUACCAUAUUUUGGAAAUUUAUUUUGUUUUUGAGAUGAGGAAUGAAUUGAUACCAUCUGUACUGACCUUUGAUAUGAAAACUACUCGAGCGCAUGACAUAUAUCUGUUUUUGUUCAUUUCUGUAUCUUGCUGCUGACUGAAGCUGGAUUUUCAGGCUCGUUAUUAUCAUCUAUUCUUUUGAAGUUGCAAAAUGAAUUCUCAAUAUUUUCAGGGGAAAUGCUUAUAAUUAGCGCGGAAUUAAACAUUGGUUGUGAACUGUAUACUUCCAAAAGGCAAUUUAUUUCCAUUGAUUUGAGUAAACUAAAUCUCCGUGAUGGUAUCACUUAUUUAAUCACUUAUUAAAGAAUUCUGUGAAAAUUUGAUGAUUGCUGUUGAAAACAUUUACUAAUUGUAAAUGCGUUAAAAAUUUAUACAAUAUUGAGAAUUCAAACAGCUCCAUGUCUCCUCCAUUGACACACAUCAUUCCCCACUGUUCUACCAUUAUAUAAUUCAGGUCUUUCAUCAGUUUAUCUCCUCAAUUUUGAACAUUUAUUAUUAUUAUUAUUAUUUUUUCCUGGGGUUGAUCUGGCAUGAAUCAGACAAGUGCUGCUAUGGCCAAACUUUCCCGGGAUGGUAAAUCUCAACCCUUUUGCAGAACUCUUAACUUCUGAAAUUAGUAGGUCUAUGAAAUUUGAAGAGCAUAUGCUGGAAGCCAUUGCCUUCCCACAUCUGAAGUAAAGAGUAAUGCUACUUUGACAGAAAUUGGUUUACAAAAUUUUGACAAACUUAUGAAAGACUAAAUUACCUUUCAGUUUAUUUACAAAUUGCGGAUGAUAAUAAAACAGGGGAUGAUGAUUUAGGGUUUUACAUAUUUUUGUCAAACUGCUAGACAACUAAGCUAAAAUUAUCAAUUUUAUGUUGUGUUAGUAAAUAAUCAAUAAUGAUUUUUGCAAUACGAAAUAAUUAAUAUUUUGUUUAGGCAAUUUUAAAAAUGUGAUAACAAUUUUAAAGAAUAAAUAAUUAUCUCAAAUAACUAAAAAAAAUAUAUUAAAUCCUUAAAUUAACAAAUAUAUUUUUGUAAAAAACUUAUAAAUAUUUUUAUGUGGAGCCAAGUUAUUUAAGUUGGGAACUAAAAAUUUUAUUAUAAUAUAAAGUUUAUUCUUAUUUAUAAUUUGUCCAAAUUAAAGUUAAAUUUUUUUUAUAACUAUGAAAGAGUUAUUUCUAUAUAGAUUAUCACUAUAAAUAUAGAGUCACUAUAAAAAAGAUUUUACGAUAUUGAUUCAUAAUCAAUCAUCCCUCAUAAUAAGCACAAGAAUGACAAGUUUUGAGUCUCAAAUAAAUUCAACCACUUACACGUGAAGCAAACGAAACAAGAAGAAUCUUAAGAAAAAAACACUCACCAGCAUGCAAGGUUCAAUCCGGGCUUAGCCCCUCUAACCACAGUUCGUCAAGAGAUUGGAAACAGAGACGAAAAGCAUUUUGAGUGGCUUCAUCCUUCCAUUGAAGCCCUCUCCACCAGUAUUCACCUCCACGAAUAAGAAUUCUACGCCCAUUUGCACUAUUUGAAUCGAGUGGAAGCUUCUUAAGCGAAUCGCAACCCCGAAAUUCCAAUUCUUUCAGACGUGGGAGAGGCAAGGGCUUCCAGUAAAUGCUCUUCAAAUUGCGCAGUCGCUCUAACCGAAGACGCUGGAGUUUUGCAAAAGGGCUGCUUAUUAUUCCCGUCAUCUCAGGAAUGUCAUCAAACUCUCCAGCACUGAUUAUUUCUUCCAUGUCAUUGCAAUAGCGUACGGAAAUAGACUUGAGGUUUGGAGCAAAAACGAGGAAUGUCAAGUGUUUCAAAUUUCUGCAACUGUCUACGGUAACUUCCUCAAGGCUGCGGAAAACAUAAGGUUGGCGCGAUUUUUGUACCAUAUCUUUGUAGUCAAUCCUCAGUCCCCCAGGCCAAUCACAACCAACAAAGGAUAAUGUAUUGAGCUGCUCUAGAUCUGCUAAAUCUGCAACAUCGAUCGACUCCUCCCUAUCGAACUCAUCGAGCAAGAGAGCUUGGGUACAACUUCGUAACUUCUGUGAGCUCAAAAAUGUUUGGUAAGCCUUAAAACUCCUGAAGGUGAUCUCCAGUACCUCUAAAUAUUUCAAACCGAGCAAUUCCUCUGCUACAUUCUCAUGCCAAGAGCUAGACAGUCCGUAAGGUGAUCUAACACCAAUAGCAAACAUUCUCAACACACGUAACCUUGAAAAAUUAGAUAACAGUUGCUGUGGAACUACAACUAACUCUUUUGCCCAGUCCAAAUUCAAACAUUUAAGAUUUACCAACGCUUUUAACUCUUCUGGUAACUCUCCAACGCUUGUUUUUGAAAUAUCAAGGAGUUGUAGUGAAACCAACUUUGAGAUCCCCAUUGGUAACUGCCGUAGCGUUUCAUUAUCUGACAUCUUCAAAACUGUUAGACAAGACAUAGACUGGAAGAAGCCACCGGUGAUCGUCCUCAACGGAUUACGGUUAAGAAACAAAGUAAGAAGAUGAGGGCAUGUCGGAACAGUUGGUAGAUUAUCAAUUGAAUUUCUCAUCAAUGAUAAUCUUCUCACAAUUUCCCAUCCUCUGACAUCUGCAGGUGCCUCCCUUAAUCCGGAACCUGCAUAAACCAAAAAGCCCUCCUUCUCCUUCUCAAUCUCACAAGUUAUCCACAAUGCCAUAUCGCGGACGACGUCAUGCAUUUUCACUUGAUCAUCUUCUACCUCUUCCAAUAAACAUGCAUGAACAAGAGUGCCCACGAUAUAGUAUCCUCGGUUUUGUGUGCCAAACUUGUCUUCUUCCAAAAACCCCUCGCACAUCCAGCAAUCAAUCAAGUCUCUUUUAUCUAUGCCGUAAUCUUCCGGAUAUAAACAACAAUAUAAGAAACAAGAUCUGAUUGCAUCGCUUGGCAAGCAAUCAUAACUGAAUUUUAAAAGAGGAUAUACCUCCUUUCCCAAACCUGCAAAUUCGGAAACUGAUCUUCUUAAAACUUCAAUCGCAUAUCUCCAUUCUUCAGGAGUCUUUUUGUAGGCCAUGGCUCGACCAAUAGUAAUAAGCGCGAGCGGCAAUCCACCGCACUCCUUUGCCACAGUUUGAGCUAGUUGAGGAAUACUAUGAUGACUCUCAAUAGUUUCUUCCCCAACUUUCUCUCGAAAUAGCUCCCAAGCAUCCUCAUCGGAUAAGCAUUCCACUUUGAACUUCCUUCGAGCUUCCAUACCGCCACAAACAUCAACGAAACGGGUUGUAAAUACCACUGCACUAUUUUUUGGAAGAGGGACGCCUACCUUCUUUAGAUCAACCCGCUCCCAUAGAUCAUCCAACAACAAAGCAAACUUCUUCUUGCUUAAAGUCUUGAAGAUGUCCUGAGCUUUCUCUUCGAGACUUCUGUCCUUCCAUGAAUCAGUAUAUAGACCUAUCUUUUUCCCGAUAGUUUCUUGAAUUUUUUCAAGCUGCAGGUCUUUUGACACCACAACCCAAAUCACAGAAUCAAAAUCUGUUGGAUUAUCAACAAAUUUAUUAUUGAUUUGGGUUAACAGUGUAGUUUUACCGACACCGCCCAUGCCGUAUAGGCCAAUUAUACCAGCUGCAGGUUCUUGUACAAGACAUCUCCAAACUUGUUCAAGUUGUGAUUGCAAGCCUACCACCGUUGGCUCAGUAGGUCUUUCAUCUGCCACAGAUAUUAAUUCUGGAGCUGCCGCGGCCACCUCUUCAAAAACUCCUUCGCCCUU
rnacentral:lncRNA from 1 species